AUUGAACGCUGGCGGCAUGCCUUACACAUGCAAGUCGAACGGCAGCACGGGAGCAAUCCUGGUGGCGAGUGGCGAACGGGUGAGUAAUGUAUCGGAACGUGCCCAGUCGUGGGGGAUAACGUAGCGAAAGCUACGCUAAUACCGCAUACGAUCCAUGGAUGAAAGCGGGGGACCGUAAGGACUCGCGCGAUUGGAGCGGCCGAUAUCAGAUUAGGUAGUUGGUGGGGUAAAGGCCUACCAAGCCGACGAUCUGUAGCUGGGCUGAGAGGACGACCAGCCACACUGGGACUGAGACACGGCCCAGACUCCUACGGGAGGCAGCAGUGGGGAAUUUUGGACAAUGGGCGCAAGCCUGAUCCAGCAAUGCCGCGUGCAGGAUGAAGGCCUUCGGGUUGUAAACUGCUUUUGUACGGAGCGAAAAGGCUCUCUCUAAUACAGGGGGCUCAUGACGGUACCGUAAGAAUAAGCACCGGCUAACUACGUGCCAGCCGCCGCAGUAAAAC
rnacentral:rRNA from 1 species